GUGCUCGCCUUGGCAGCACAUAUACUAAAAUUGGAAUGAUACAGAGAUCACCAUGGCUCGUGUGCAAGGAUGGCAUGCAAAUUCAUGAUGCAUUCCACAUUUCU
ensembl:snRNA U6 U6 spliceosomal RNA